AUUGAACGCUGGCGGCAGGCCUAACACAUGCAAGUCGAGCGGUAACAUUUCUAGCUUGCUAGAAGAUGACGAGCGGCGGACGGGUGAGUAAUGCUUGGGAAUAUGCCUUAGGGUGGGGGACAACAGUUGGAAACGACUGCUAAUACCGCAUAACGUCUACGGACCAAAGGGGGCUUCGGCUCUCGCCCUUAGAUUAGCCCAAGUGGGAUUAGCUAGUUGGUGAGGUAAUGGCUCACCAAGGCGACGAUCCCUAGCUGGUUUGAGAGGAUGAUCAGCCACACUGGAACUGAGACACGGUCCAGACUCCUACGGGAGGCAGCAGUGGGGAAUAUUGCACAAUGGGCGCAAGCCUGAUGCAGCCAUGCCGCGUUGUGUGAAGAAGGCCUUAGGGUUGUAAAGCACUUUCAGUAAGGAGGAAAGGUUAGUAGUUAAUACCUGCUAGCUGUGACGUUACUUUACAGAAGAAAGCACCGGGCUAACUCCCGUGCCAGCAGCCGCGGUAAUACGGAGGGUGCGAGCGUUAAUCGGAAUUACUGGGCGUAAAGCGUACGCAGGCGGUUUGUUAAGCGAGAUGUGAAAGCCCCGGGCUCAACCUGGGAACUGCAUUUCGAACUGGCAAACUAGAGUAUGAUAGAGGGUGGUAGAAUUUCAGGUGUAGCGGUGAAAUGCGUAGAGAUCUGAAGGAAUACCGAUGGCGAAGGCAGCCACCUGGGUCAAUACUGACGCUCAUGUACGAAAGCGUGGGGAGCAAACGGGAUUAGAUACCCCGGUAGUCCACGCCGUAAACGAUGUCUACUAGGAGCUGGGGUCUUCGGACAACUUUUCCAAAGCUAACGCAUUAAGUAGACCGCCUGGGGAGUACGGCCGCAAGGUUAAAACUCAAAUGAAUUGACGGGGGCCCGCACAAGCGGUGGAGCAUGUGGUUUAAUUCGAUGCAACGCGAAGAACCUUACCUACACUUGACAUACAGAGAACUUACUAGAGAUAGUUUGGGUGCCUUCGGGAACUCUGAUACAGGUGCUGCAUGGCUGUCGUCAGCUCGUGUUGUGAGAUGUUGGGUUAAGUCCCGCAACGAGCGCAACCCCUAUCCUUAGUUGCCAGCGAUUCGGUCGGGAACUCUAAGGAGACUGCCGGUGAUAAACCGGAGGAAAGGGUGGGGACGACGUCAAGUCAUCAUGGCCCUUACGUGUAGGGCUACACACGUGCUACAAUGGCGCAUACAGAGUGCUGCAAGCUCGCGAGAGUUAGCGAAUCACUUAAAGUGCGUCGUAGUCCGGAUUGGAGUCUGCAACUCGACUCCAUGAAGUCGGAAUCGCUAGUAAUCGCGGAUCAGAAUGCCGCGGUGAAUACGUUCCCGGGCCUUGUACACACCGCCCGUCACACCAUGGGAGUGGGUUGCUCCAGAAGUAGGUAGCUUAACCUUAGGGAGGGCGCUUACCACGGAGUAUUCAGUAGGA
rnacentral:rRNA from 1 species